GUGUGUCUCCCGCGGCUCAAUCGUCGGCCCAAGUGUGGGUAUACGCGCGACCAUGGUGGUUGCGGCAGUGUGGUUGUGCCAGGUGGCACGAGUAGCUUACUUAUAGUCGCGAGGCACUUACGAGCGGUGUCUUCGGUAUAUCGAUAAACAUUAUCCCCCACGUCGCGGUCGCGCGGAUGAAAGUCCGGCAGGUGUUUAUUGAAUAAAACAAACGCUUCCGACGCGACGCGACGCGACGGCAGCAGCCGCUGCCGCGUCUGAAGCCGCAACGGUCGGAUCGUGAGGAGACAGAUGAGCGUGGUUCUCCCGUGCGGGUAACUUUAUCUGUCAACCAAGAAGCAGCUUGAAAGAAGUAGAGUUCCGCAAGUAAGAGUUGGGACACGACCUUACUGAUUUCUAAUUGGCGAAGGAGACGUCCGUCAUUAAUAGGGAGAGGACUGUAAGUGAGAAUGAGAGAGAAGAUGUUUGGACAGACGCUGCAGUGGUACGCUUGCAUUCUUCGUUGGAGGAAGCAACAGUGAAAAGGAAAUUGCAAAAUCGCUCUUUCAUCGCUUGGCAGAUUUAGCCGGCGUGGGGUUAAUUAAACCUUACAGCCAGUUUAAUGAACAAAGUGGAUUUCAAGUGCCUCCUCAUGUUGUCGAAGAGUCGUUUCUCUCUGACUGUCGCCGACGACACCAAUGUAGGGAAGCGCCGAUAUAAAUAUUGGGAAGAGAAAACAUCGAGCAACAUCGGAAUAUUAUAUAGAGGGUGCUAAAUUUCAAACGUAACAGAAAAUCGGGCGUUUAGAGCACUGCACGCCGCACUUUCGACGGGCAGAUACGCCACGGACGAAUAAAACUUUGCACCGAUUGCACGGAUCGCCGUGACGUCGCCUAAUGACAAGCAGUCGCAGUCUCGGUGCACGAGCCGGCAAUGAAGGCGCGACGAGCCUCGCUAUCGCGUGACGUUUCGAGCUGGCUCCGUUCGAUCGCGCAAACACCGAGCUCUUUAUACCGUCGAGCCUCGAAAACGAUGUGGAUCGGAUUAAUCGCGCGCACGGACUCGACGCAAAAGCACUCGAGCGUGCGAGGUCCUCGACUACGAGGGAAGGAGCGAUGAAACUUUGACACUCGGCUCUCUGUCGCCGAUUAGCGCUAUCGUCGUCCGUUGCGUAAGAUGUUAUUGCGAAUGAAUAAAGGCGCAGACAAAAGGAUAGUCGCAGCAGACGGGGCAGCAUUUGGAAAUAAGUAUCUGGCAUCGGUGGCGAUUAGUCGAGUCGUUUAUUUUCGGGACUAUCUCUCGCCGAGAUAGAAACCCGUCUCAUUCGCCGUAACGUCGCGCGCGCGCGCGAGAU